rnacentral:rRNA from 1 species
UACCCCUAGCAAAUCUCAAAAAACCGAUCUCAGUUCGGAUUGGAGUCUGCAAUUCGACUCCAUGAAGUCGGAAUCGCUAGUAAUCGCGGAUCAGCACGCCGCGGUGAAUCCGUUCCCGGGCCUUGUACACACCGCCCGUCACACCAUGGGAGCUGACUCAACCAGAAGACGAUCAGGCUAACCGUAAGGAGGCCUUCGGCGAAGGUGGGGUCAGCGACUGGGGUGAAG